CCUACGGGAGGCAGCAGUGAGGAAUAUUGGUCAAUGGACGAGAGUCUGAACCAGCCAAGUAGCGUGAAGGAUGACUGCACUAUGGGUUGUAAACUUCUUUUAUAUGGGAAUAAAAUGUUCCACGUGUGGGAUUUUGUAUGUACCAUAUGAAUAAGGAUCGGCUAACUCCGUGCCAGCAGCCGCGGUAAUACGGAGGAUCCGAGCGUUAUCCGGAUUUAUUGGGUUUAAAGGGAGCGUAGGUGGAUUGUUAAGUCAGUGGUGAAAGGUUGCGGCUCAACCGUAAAAUUGCAGUUGAAACUGGCAGUCUUGAGUACAGUAGAGGUGGGCGGAAUUCGUGGUGUAGCGGUGAAAUGCUUAGAUAUCACGAAGAACUCCGAUUGCGAAGGCAGCUCACUGGACUGCAACUGACACUGAGGCUCGAAAGUGUGGGUAUCAAACAGGAUUAGAUACCCUGGUAGUC
rnacentral:rRNA from 1 species